rnacentral:rRNA from 1 species
UACGGAGGAGGCAAGCGUUAUCCGGAAUUAUUGGGCGUAAAGCGUGCGUAGGUGGUUUUGUCAGUCUGCUGUCAAAGCUCAGGGCUUAACCCUGUAAAGGCAGUGGAAACUACAAGACUAGAGUGCAGUAGGGGCAGAGGGAAUUCCCAGUGUAGCGGUGAAAUGCGUAGAGAUCGGGAAGAACAUCGGUGGCGAAAGCGCUCUACUGGACGGUAUCUGACACUGAGGGACGAAAGCUAGGGGAGCGAAUGGG